GAAACCCGGGCUAAUACCGCAUAAUGUCUUUUUUUCACAUGGGAGAGAGACCAAAGGGGGCCUCUGCUUGCAAGCUCUCGCCUGAUGAGGGGGUCGCGUCGUAUCAGCUUGUUGGUGAGGUAACGGCUCACCAAGGCAAUGACGCGUAGCGGGUCUGAGAGGACGAUCCGCCACAUUGGGACUGAGAUACGGCCCAGACUCCUACGGGAGGCAGCAGUAGGGAAUAUUGCGCAAUGGUCGAAAGACUGACGCAGCGACGCCGCGUGUGGGAGGAAGCCUUUCGGGGUGUAAACCACUGUCAGGAGGGAAGAACCCCGAGUGUUCGAAUAGGGCACUCGAUUGACGGUACCUCCAGAGGAAGCGCCGGCUAACUCCGUGCCAGCAGCCGCGGUAAGACGGAGGGCGCAAGCGUUGUUCGGAAUUACUGGGCGUAAAGCGCACGCAGGCGGUUUGCUCAGUCCCAUGUGAAAGCCCUGGGCUCANCCCCGGAAUGGCAUGGGAUACUGGCA
rnacentral:rRNA from 1 species